GUCUCUGGGCCAAUACUGACACUGAGGAGCGAAAGCGUGGGGAGCGAACAGGAUUAGAUACCCUGGUAGUCCACGCCGUAAACGGUGGGCGCUAGUUGUGCGAACCUUCCACGGUUUGUGCGACGCAGCUAACGCAUUAAGCGCCCCGCCUGGGGAGUACGAUCGCAAGAUUAAAACUCAAAGGAAUUGACGGGGCCCCGCACAAGCAGCGGAGCAUGCGGCUUAAUUCGACGCAACGCGAAGAACCUUACCAAGGCUUGACAUAUACAGGAAUAUGGCAGAGAUGUCAUAGCCGCAAGGUCUGUAUACAGGUGGUGCAUGGUUGUCGUCAGCUCGUGUCGUGAGAUGUUGGGUUAAGUCCCGCAACGAGCGCAACCCUCGUUCUGUGUUGCCAGCAUUAAGUUGGGGACUCACAGGAGACUGCCGGGGUUAACUCGGAGGAAGGUGGGGAUGACGUCAAAUCAUCAUGCCCCUUAUGUCUUGGGCUGCACGCAUGCUACAAUGGCUGGUACAAACGGCUGCGAUACCGCAAGGUGGAGCGAAUCCGAUAAAGCCAGUCUCAGUUCGGAUUGGGGUCUGCAACUCGACCCCAUGAAGUCGGAGUUGCUAGUAAUCGUAGAUCAGCAACGCUACGGUGAAUACGUUCCCGGGGCUUGUACACACCGCCCGUCACAUCACGAAAGUCGGUAACACCCAAAGUCAGUGGCCCAACCGUAAGGAGGGAGCUGCCAAAGGUGGGAUCGGUGAUUGGGAUG
rnacentral:rRNA from 1 species